rnacentral:misc_RNA from 1 species
CAAUUUCUAACCCAACCCAAAAACCCACCCAAUAAAGGCACAUGAGCCCACACUAAACUUGAAAUUUUAGGGUUGAACCCCAGUAAUCUGAGUAACCAAAAUAAUUUAUUUUAAAAUUUAAAAAUUCAAAAUUUUGAGAAAAUUUUGAAAAAGAAAACAAAAUAAUAUAAAAAAAAUUCAGACCCAAAACAAUUAUAGAAAUGAUAUUCCUUAAAACUGACCUUUAGGUAACCUAAGCCCACCAAAAACCUGAGCAACCAGAACCUGCAUGCAAAGCAGCACCAAAUUUUCCCCCCAAGCCCUCCCACCCUGAUAACCUUUCCACCUUCACUUCUUAGUUUACUGAUUUCUAAAUUCCUGAUUUGCCAGUGCUUUUUAGUUAGGCAACAACUAACACUAUGUAAAAUGAUUCAAUAAAUUACAAGCAUAUAUGUAACUCAUCAUGAAAUAAAUGUAUAUAUCCUUUUGAAUAUUUGUGACUCACCAAAUCCUUGAAUCCCAACUACUUGAGGUUCACUAAGUCUAAAUUUUUGCCCUAGUCACAUCACCCAGAGAAAAUUCUUUGUGCUCUUACGUCUUCUCUGACCAUCAUGGUAAAUGCUCUCUUGUAACAUUCUAAAGCCAUGCUGAUCAAUUCAAAUUCUAAGCCUUGGAGUUUCUAUAUCAAAAUCCAGGCCUUUAAUUGAUCAAUAGUUUCAGUUCUGCUUAUCCAAGGCUUUCCAAAACGCCUACUUUAAUGCUUCUGUUGCACUUUCUAGUUAUAUAUAACAUCAUGUUCAUCUGUUUGCAUCAGCUAUAUCCUGUCUUUUGCCUGUGCAUUUGGUGUAUGUCAUUUUAUGUUUAGUCCAUAAUUCGGCCUGAUCUGUUGAUUUAUGGUUUUCAGUCCUCUUGUGUGAGGCGG